rnacentral:rRNA from 1 species
ACACGUAUGAAAGACAAGCUGAAAGACUUUUCUCAAUGAUGUAAGUGGUGGUGCAUGGUCGUUCGUAGUUCGUGGAUUGAUUUGUCUGGUCUAUUCCGAUAACGAGCGAGACCCCGGCGUUCCUAAUAGGGGCAACAGCCCGGCUCGCCUCACGGCUUGCUAGCAGUUGCUUAAGAUUUACUUCUUAGACGUAUCAGAGCCGAUAAGGUUCUUGAAAUGGGUUAAUAACAGGUCAGUCAUGCCCUUAGAUGUUCUGGGCCGCACGCGCGUUACAAUGGCAUGUAUAGAAAGUGCCUAUUAAGGGCGUAUCCGGGGCCUAACGGCCUCGGUAACCCCUAAUCCCUGCCUUGACUGGGAUAGACUAUUGCAAUUAUUGGUCUUCAACGAGGAAUUUUUAGUAAUCGCAGGUCAUUAACCUGCGAUGA